UCUUGAAACAGUUCAUAGAAGGGCCCCAUGGGCACUUUGAAACUGCUCAGUCUACCUUGGAGGGGGGCUUAGGAAUGCGAGGGGCCAUCUAGGGCCUGCAAGACUUUUCCUUCCACAAUCCCCCGUUUUGUCAGUUCUUCUGACAACCAUAAUACAAAACAAACAAUUAAACAUAGCAUACCUUAUAAAUGCAAUGCAUACAACCUAUAUGAGAAUACAUCUGGUAUAUAAUGUUCAUACACUGUGGUGGUUCAUUGGAGUCAAUUUUUAGACUUUUAGUGUUCUUAGGAUAGAACAGAACAGGUUUAGAAGAACUUGCCUUUAGAAAAGAGUAAGACAAUAAGGAGGUACAGCAAGAACAACAGCAACAAAUGAUGUUAGGAAGACAAUAGAUGAUUAGGAUAAGGCCACCAACACAAACAAGAGCAUACAAGAUGAAAUGAAAAAUCUUAGAGAACCAAACACCUAUGUCUUGGAACCAAGUGGAUGGGUCCAACCAGGGGAAGAUGGAUUGUUCCUUGUGAUUGGUUAAAAAGGUGUCCUUCCUCUGCUAAACCUUUACCAGGUGCUUGUCAUCAAUGUAAUUACAACUGUACCUAACCCUCCUUGACUAGCUGGAAGAUAAUAUAACACUAAACAAUGCGGCAGAACUUCCUUCUUCAAUUGUUGGAGUUCAUGACUUACUAUCUUCAAACUGUUGUCAUAUUCAUUAGUAAUGUUAUCAAGCAACAACAUACUAGACAUAAGGCUAAAGGCUUUCUUAAUGCAACAUCCAUUUACCUCAGGGGAAGUUAAAGAGAGCUCUUGCCUUACCUUUAAAGAUGCACGCUUCAUUAGGAAGUGUGCUGGAAUCUGAGCUAUCUUAAUAUCUGUAGCUUCCAUAUACCAGGUGGGAUGAAGCAAUUUAGCAAUCAUACAUACCCCAUGGGAGCCUUUUGGUAGCCACGGAUAGGCACAUUCACCACAAACAAAGUAAUAAGCGGAACUGUUGAUACAAAGGCCAUCAGAACAUAAGUGUACCAACUUACCAAUAUCCUUGGGCGACACCGUUUUAUGAAACUGGAGAAGUGUCAAAUUACCCCAAGGCCUGUUAACUAUAUCCUGACAGGAUAGAGAUUCUGCUACGUAUGUUAUACUGCGAGCUGACAAAGGAUAAUGUGUACAUAUCCAUCAAGCAAUAAUAGUGUGGAUGCUGCUAUAACAUACAUUUUAACAAAAGCAUUAUCAUUAGGCUCAAACAGUUAUGCAUAUAAGUCUCUUUUGACAACCUUAACCUGAUCGGUUGACGACAUAUUAGCCUCCGAAGUUGGUGAGGCUGCUGUUUGUUUACUUGUGAGUUGUCGUUGCCUGCAGGCUUUAUGAGUGCUAUCGUCAGCACAGCAACGAAGAUAAUGAUGUGCAGUACGGAGACACAGAUGAUAAGUCUUUUAUCUGGCUUUGGGCCAAAGCAUCUUGCACACAGAGACAUGAUGGUGCUGCUGAGGAUCUUCACCCGAUGGGGACCUACGUCUUUUGCACUGCACGUUAGGGUCCCUGGGACUUAGGUGGUGGAGGGAAAGAGGCGUUAUUAUGUCCUACAAUUCCCCCCCACUUACACCGCAGGUGGAAGUUGAGAUUUCGGUUUCCCUUCAACCUUUACAGCUGUUUCUGUGACUAGGAGUACCUGGAAUGGUCAUUUUCAGCGAGGUUGAAGAUCUUUGGCACUGUGUCUCCUUAUGAGGAUCCAAUCUCCUGGAAUGAGAUCAUGUGGUUCCAGAACAUCCGCUGGAUCUGGUAAUGAAGAAUAAACUCGAGAACACAAUUUGGUCAGUUCCUUAUGUAACUGAGAAACAUAUUCAGUCAUUCGUCCAUAGUUCAUGCAAAGAAGAUGAGUAGAAGGAAAGUACUGAGCCAUGCGUGCUUGUCUCCCAAACAAUAUUUCAUAUGGGGAGAGUUUACUUAGCCUUUGGGGAGUGUGCAUGACAGACAUAAGCACUAUAUCAAGGGCAUCUGGCCACACAAGUUUAGUCUCUGCACAUACUUUACUUAGCCUGCUUUUAAUAACACCCUUUAGACUUUCCCACUAGCUUGGGGAUGAAAUGGUGUGUAACAUUUGAUGAAUCCCAAUGUCUUUGUGCAGAUUAAUUACAUCACCUGUCCCGUGAAACGUGUACCUUGAUCAGAGGAUAAUACCUCAGGCAGUCCAUAACUGCCAACAAUCUCUGCAAUUAACUCAUUAGCUAUAGCUUCAUCUGAAGCUUUUACAAUGGACCCAGGGAAUUGGUCAACACAAACAAUUACAUAUUCAUAGGUACAACAUGUAGGUAACUGUAGGAAAUCUAUCUGCAAUAUCUGAAAUUGUUACGGUGGUUUAGGUCAGUGUUUGAUAGGUGUUGGAAUAGUCUUACCUAGAUUAUAUUGCAAACAAAUAAAACAUAAUUAUACAUACUUGGCUGCAAUAGAUGAGAACCCGGGGGCAAACCACAUUCCGGACACUACAUCACAUAUCCCCCCAUAAAAAGUGUGGGUGAGAUCAUGUGAGGCAGCAACCAAAUAUGGUAACAGAGCACGGGGUGCAACAGGGCAAUCACCUAAAUGCCAAA